rnacentral:rRNA from 1 species
UACGUAGGGAGCAAGCGUUGUCCGGAUUUAUUGGGCGUAAAGAGCUCGUAGGCGGCUUAGCAAGUCGGGUGUGAAACCUCCAGGCUCAACCUGGAGACGCCACUCGAUACUGCUAUGGCUUGAGUUCGGUAGGGGACCAUGGAAUUCCUGGUGUAGCGGUGAAAUGCGCAGAUAUCAGGAGGAACACCGAUGGCGAAGGCAGGUCUCUGGGCCGAUACUGACGCUGAGGAGCGAAAGCGUGGGGAGCGAACAGG